rnacentral:rRNA from 1 species
GGCGCACGGGUGAGUAACACGUAAGUAAUCUACCCCCGGGUGGGGAAUAACGUCGGGAAACCGACGCUAAUACCGCAUAAUGCAGCGGCACCGCAAGGUGACAGUUGUUAAAGGCGAAAGUCGCCUGAGGAGGAGCUUGCGGCAGAUUAGCUAGUUGGUAAGGUAAUGGCUUACCAAGGCUACGAUCUGUAACCGGUCUAAGAGGACGGUCGGUCACACUGACACUGAAUAACGGGUCAGACUCCUACGGGAGGCAGCAGUCGGGAAUUUUGGGCAAUGGGCGAAAGCCUGACCCAGCAACGCCGCGUGAAGGAUGAAGUAUUUCGGUAUGUAAACUUCGUAAAAAUAGGAAGAAUAAAUGACGGUACUAUUUGUAAGGUCCGGCUAACUACGUGCCAGCAGCCGCGGUAAUACGUAGGGACCAAGCGUUGUUCGGAUUUACUGGGCGUAAAGGGCGCGUAGGCGGCGUGACAAGUCACUUGUGAAAUCUCCGGGCUUAAC